GAUGAACGCUAGCGGGAGGCCUAACACAUGCAAGCCGAGCGGUAGAGUCUCUUCGGAGACUUGAGAGCGGCGCACGGGUGCGGAACACGUGUGCAACCUGCCUUUAUCUGGGGGAUAGCCUUUCGAAGGGAAGAUUAAUACCCCAUAAUAUACUGGAUGGCAUCAUCUGGUAUUGAAAACUCCGGUGGAUAGAGAUGGGCACGCGCAAGAUUAGAUAGUUGGUGAGGUAACGGCUCACCAAGUCAGCGAUCUUUAGGGGGCCUGAGAGGGUGAUCCCCCACACUGGUACUGAGACACGGACCAGACUCCUACGGGAGGCAGCAGUGAGGAAUAUUGGACAAUGGGUGAGAGCCUGAUCCAGCCAUCCCGCGUGAAGGACGACGGCCCUAUGGGUUGUAAACUUCUUUUGUAGAGGGAUAAACCUAGAUACGUGUAUCUAGCUGAAGGUACUAUACGAAUAAGCACCGGCUAACUCCGUG
rnacentral:rRNA from 1 species